GGGUGAUCGAGGUGGACGAGGAGGACAAGGAUUUCUGCACAACAUAACCCGAGGUGGUUGGCAGUGGUCGUUGGAGAUAGUUGGUGGUGGUUGGAGGUGGUCGAGCUGGACGAGGAGGAGGAGGACGAGGAAGUCGAGGAGAACAAUGUGGACGAGAAGGACGAGGAUUUGUGCUCGUUGAGAGCUGUACUCCACACAAUACAAGAAAUACUGGACAAAGGUGAUGAGAUGAUAGUAGUAUCACAAUGGACCAGUAUGCUGGAAGUUGUGAGGUCUCGUCUCAAAACUCUAAAUGGAGCAACUUAUGAUACCCUGUCGGGAAAAAUUCCUGUAAAAAAUCGCGCAUAGUGGAGUCGUUCAACACAAUAGACUCAGCACCGCAAAUUCUAUUACUAUCGCUUACUGCAGGCGGAGUAAGCUUAAAUUUGGUUGGCGGCAAUCACUUACUUUUGCUUGAUAUCCGUUGGGAUCCGUAAUUGGAAGCGCAAGCACAGGAUCGAAUUUACAGAGUUGGCCAAACUAAAAGCGUUUACAUUUACAAAUUUAUGUGUCUGGACACUGGAGAGC